GAGAAAGGUACUUUGCCCAACUCCCCCUAAUAUGCUCUCUGUUUCGUCUUCAACUCUACUCGCUAGUGUUCUGGUAGUCUUUAAAUUAUACACUUUGAAACGAGGAUUGUUAAUCUAGCUGAUAAUUUGUGUGGUUUAUCUGUGAAUUCUUUCUGUUUUUUCUCCUAUUAAAUGGAGGUUUGGGAUUUGUGUUCCAGCCAUAGACAGCUCAAUGCCGACAAUUUUCAUUUUGAGCCUUUAGUUGAAUAUCACAAACAAGAUAUGAUAAACUAUAGUUCGUCAUAUAUGUUUGCUCAUUUUGGUUUUUGUUAUAAUCCUCAUUAUGGUGCAUCUAUUUACUUUUUGUUGCUUGUCUCUUUUUUUCUUGGUUCUACUUGAGUUGUGAUUAUACAGUGGUGGUCGAACUUUUCUGUUGACAGCAUAACUUACUGAAUUAUGGAAUUGCAAACUGUGAUAUGGGUUAAAGAAAAAGGAUAAAAGAGUCACUUGACAGAUAAUCAAGCUGACAUUGGGAAUGUCUUAUCUGUGGCCUUCUUGUUGAAAAGUUCUGAUAGAGGUUUUAAGUCAUUUAAGAUUUUAUGGGUCUGAGGUGCUUCUUUUUGAGAUAUCAUCUCUUAAUUUCUAUUCAGCUUGUUGAAGAUUUUCUAUUUGAUCAUGGCAACCUUUGCAGACGGCAUUUUAGUGUUGUUUGAAUUUAUUUAUUUACUUUUUGAUGUUGUAUUAGGUUUAAUUUCUUAUGAAAAUGAUAAUUUAUGGUCAAGAUUCUUCUUGAAGUAUCCACUUUCUGACUUUCCCGUUCCUUCUUUUAUUUUCUUAGAUGAAUGGAUCAAUAUGAUAUUUACAUUUUUCUUUUUUGGUGGUUUCUCGAGCUUUUAGGCAUGUCUGUCAGAGUGGCAGUACAAAUUGGCUUGGUUUUUGCUAGAUGUACCGUUCAUACUUGUGACAGUGAGGUUGCAUUUUUCUUAUUCUGAUAGAUUUUAUUUAAUGGGGACG
rnacentral:misc_RNA from 1 species